rnacentral:rRNA from 1 species
GACGAACGCUGGCGGCGUGCCUAACACAUGCAAGUCGAACGGAAAGUCCCUGCUUUUGUGGGCUGCUCGAGUGGCGACCGGGUGAGUAACACGUGAGUAACCUGUAACUGACCUUGGGAUGUCUUCAGGCCACUGGGGCUCAUCCCGGCUAGGAGCUCCUGCUGCUUGGUGGGGGUUGGAAGGUUUCGGCGGUUGGGGAUGGACUCGCGUCUUAUCAGCUUGUUGGAGGGGUAGUGGCUUACCAAGGCUUUGACGGGUAGCCGGCCUGAGAGGGUGACCGGCUACAUUGGGACUGAGAUACGGCCCAGACUCCUAUGGGAGGCAGCAGUGGGGAAGAGUGCACAAUAGGCGGAAGCCUGAUGCAGCAACGCCGCGUGCGGGAUGACGGCCUUCGGUUUGUAAAGCGAUUUCGCCUGAGACGAAGCGUGAGUGACGGUAAUGGGUAAAGAAGCACCGGCUAACUACGUG